rnacentral:rRNA from 1 species
GGAGCUUGCUCCUUUGACGUUAGCGGCGGACGGGUGAGUAACACGUGGAUAACCUACCUAUAAGACUGGGAUAACUUCGGGAAACCGGAGCUAAUACCGGAUAACAUAUUGAACCGCAUGGUUCAAUAGUGAAAGGCGGCUUUGCUGUCACUUAUAGAUGGAUCCGCGCCGUAUUAGCUAGUUGGUAAGGUAACGGCUUACCAAGGCAACGAUACGUAGCCGACCUGAGAGGGUGAUCGGCCACACUGGAACUGAGACACGGUCCAGACUCCUACGGGAGGCAGCAGUAGGGAAUCUUCCGCAAUGGGCGAAAGCCUGACGGAGCAACGCCGCGUGAGUGAUGAAGGUCUUCGGAUCGUAAAACUCUGUUAUCAGGGAAGAACAAAUGUGUAAGUAACUGUGCACAUCUUGACGGUACCUGAUCAGAAAGCCACGGCUAACUACGUGCCAGCAGCCGCGGUAAUACGUAGGUGGCAAGCGUUAUCCGGAAUUAUUGGGCGUAAAGCGCGCGUAGGCGGUUUUUUAAGUCUGAUGUGAAAGCCCACGGCUCAACCGUGGAGGGUCAUUGGAAACUGGAAAACUUGAGUG